rnacentral:rRNA from 1 species
GCGAACGCUGGCGGCACGCCUAACACAUGCAAGUCGAGCGCACCUUCGGGUGAGCGGCGGACGGGUUAGUAACGCGUGGGAACAUACCCUUUUCUACGGAAUAGCCUCGGGAAACUGAGAGUAAUACCGUAUACGCCCUUCGGGGGAAAGAUUUAUCGGUGAAGGAUUGGCCCGCGUCUGAUUAGAUAGUUGGUGGGGUAAUGGCCUACCAAGUCUACGAUCAGUAGCUGGUUUGAGAGGAUGAUCAGCAACACUGGGACUGAGACACGGCCCAGACUCCUACGGGAGGCAGCAGUGGGGAAUCUUAGACAAUGGGCGCAAGCCUGAUCUAGCGAUGCCGCGUGAGUGAUNGAGGUCUUAGGAUCGUAAAGUCUUUCGCC